UACGUAUGGUGCAAGCGUUAUCCGGAUUUACUGGGUGUAAAGGGAGCGUAGGCGGCGCGUUAAGUCUGAUGUGAAAACCCGAGGCUCAACCACGGGAGUGCAUUGGAAACUGGCGUGCUGGAGUGCCGGAGAGGUAAGCGGAAUUCCUAGUGUAGCGGUGAAAUGCGUAGAUAUCAGGAGGAACACCGGUGGCGAAGGCGGCUUACUGGACCAUAACUGACGUUGAGGCUCGAAAGCGUGGGGAGCGAACAGG
rnacentral:rRNA from 1 species